UACGUAGGUGGCAAGCGUUGUCCGGAUUUAUUGGGUUUAAAGGGUGCGUAGGCGGUUCCAUAAGUCAGUGGUGAAAUACAAUAGCUUAACUAUUGAGGUGCCAUUGAUACUGCGGAACUUGAGUACAGACGAGGUAGGCGGAAUUGACGGUGUAGCGGUGAAAUGCUUAGAUAUCGCCAAGAACACCGAUAGCGAAGGCAGCUUACUAGACUGUAACUGACGCUGAGGCACGAAAGUGUGGGGAUCAAACAGG
rnacentral:rRNA from 1 species